rnacentral:rRNA from 1 species
UACGGAGGAUCCAAGCGUUAUCCGGAAUCAUUGGGUUUAAAGGGUGCGUAGGCGGGCAGGUAAGUCCGUGGUGAAAUCUCCGAGCUUAACUCGGAAACUGCCAUGGAUACUAUUUGUCUUGAAUGUUGUGGAGGUGAGCGGAAUAUGUCAUGUAGCGGUGAAAUGCUUAGAUAUGACAUAGAACACCAAUUGCGAAGGCAGCUCACUACACAAAUAUUGACGCUGAGGCACGAAAGCGUGGGGAUCAAACAGG